UGGCCACGUGCUCUCUGUCACCCCAGUGCCCUGGACCUCAGUAUGCAGAGAAGCAGCCAUGACAAGCACAGAAAUAUAAGCACUGAUGCCUCCUGUGGAAGCCCCCAGUGCUCCUGCAGCCCUCGUGUUAAUUUAAGGAGUUAACUAACAAUCUGGCAUCAUUGCUGGAAACUGAAGAAGCUGGGAGGAGGCUAAGCAAAACCCUUGCUUAAUUAAAAGCAUAUCUGCAAAAGGUCAGGCCUGGCAGGAGGAUGACAAAGGCAGUCGGAAUUUUAAAAUCAAGUCAUUCUCUCCUGCGAGAUUCCUUCCAGACUGUGAUGGAUUCGGGAUGCUGAGUUUUCUCUUCCAACGGAGCCUGCACAGCUGAGUCGGGGCUUUUAGGAGAUUGAUGACCUAUGACAAAGCCAGGGCAGCACUCGGUGACUUUCUGCUGGUUCUGAAGAAUCCAAAUGAAAGUUCUACCCUGAACCUGCUCUGCAAAGGGGACCCACAUGAGGAAGAGGCUAGAAGGUCACUUGGAAAGGGUCCUGACCCACCCACCAUGACAAGCAAUUAUUUUUCUGGACAGCUUCCUGAUGUCCCCAAGGAGACAGAGAGCGUGGCAGCCAGUGAGGGAAAGCAUGCCACAGGUCCCUCCUGCUAACCUGGCAGGAGGGUGCUCGCGACACCUAAUUUGUCAAUGCUUGUUUUCCCUGCUGGAGCCGAGUACACAGGAUCGCUCCGCCAACGGAGAAGGAGAAAGGGGAAGCCAUUCUUCGCCUUUUUCAGCAAUGUAUUUUUGUUUUGGUCAAUUUCCCAAAUAAAUUAUGGUCUUGUCUCAUUGCCA